rnacentral:lncRNA from 1 species
CUUGGAUUAUCCAAUUGUAACCCAUUUUAGUUCUUUUGGAUAUUGACAUUAUUUAAUGACUUUAAAUAGAUUUAGGUGAAUCAAAUAUAGUUGAACUUUGAAGGUCCAAAGUGAAAGAGAUAAGUAACCUUAAUACUUCUUACUUAUUUUUAAAUUAUCGAUUAUUUUAUCAUAAAAAUUUAUUUGAUAUUUUUAUAAAAUAAGGAUUGAGCAUAUGUAU